AUUGAACGCUGGCGGCAGGCCUAACACAUGCAAGUCGAAUGGUAACAGGAAACAGCUUGCUGUUUCGCUGACGAGUGGCGGACGGGUGUGUAAUGUCUGGGAAACUGCCUGAUGGCGGGGGAUAACUACUGGAAACGGUAGCUAAUACCGCAUAACGUCGCAAGACCAAAGAGGGGGACUUUCGGGCCUCUUGCCAUUAGAUGAGCCCAGAUGGGAUUAGCUAGUAGGUGGGGUAACGGCUCACCUAGGCGACGAUCCCUAGCUGGUCUGAGAGGAUGACCAGCCACACUGGAACUGAGACACGGUCCAGACUCCUACGGGAGGCAGCAGUGGGGAAUAUUGCACAAUGGGCGCAAGCCUGAUGCAGCCAUGCCGCGUGUAUGAAGAAGGCCUUCGGGUUGUAAAGUACUUUCAGCGGGGAGGAAGGAAGUAAAGUUAAUACCUUUGCUCAUUGACGUUACCCGCAGAAGAAGCACCGGCUAACUCCGUG
rnacentral:rRNA from 1 species